rnacentral:rRNA from 1 species
AGCGGCGGACGGGUGAGUAUCACGUGGGUAACCUGCCCAAGAGACUGGGAUAACACCUGGAAACAGAUGCUAAUACCGGAUAACAACACUAGACGCAUGUCUAGAGUUUGAAGGAUGGUUCUGCUAUCACUCUUGGAUGGACCUGCGGUGCAUUAGCUAGUUGGUAAGGUAACGGCUUACCAAGGCAAUGAUGCAUAGCCGAGUUGAGAGACUGAUCGGCCACAUUGGGACUGAGACACGGCCCAAACUCCUACGGGAGGCAGCAGUAGGGAAUCUUCCACAAUGGACGAAAGUCUGAUGGAGCAACGCCGCGUGAGUGAAGAAGGGUUUCGGCUCGUAAAGCUCUGUUGGUAGUGAAGAAAGAUAGAGGUAGUAACUGGCCUUUAUUUGACGGUAAUUACUUAGAAAGUCACGGCUAACUACGUGCCAGCAGCCGCGGUAAUACGUAGGUGGCAAGCGUUGUCCGGAUUUAUUGGGCGUAAAGCGAGUGCAGGCGGUUCAAUAAGUCUGAUGUGAAAGCCUUCGGCUCAACCGGAGAAUUGCAUCAGAAACUGUUGAACUUGAGUGCAGAAGAGGAGAGUGGAACUCCAUGUGUAGCGGUGGAAUGCGUAGAUAUAUGGAAGAACACCAGUGGCGAAGGCGGCUCUCUGGUCUGCAACUGACGCUGAGGCUCGAAAGCAUGGGUAGCGAACAGGAUUAGAUACCCUGGUAGUCCAUGCCGUAAACGAUGAGUGCUAAGUGU